UGCCAGCCGCCGCGGUAAUACGGAGGGGGCUAGCGUUGUUCGGAAUUACUGGGCGUAAAGCGCACGUAGGCGGACUGGUCAGUCAGAGGCGAAAGCCCGAAGCUCAACUUCGGAACUGCCUUUGAUACUGCCAGUCUAGAGUCCGGAAGAGGUGAGUGGAAUUCCUAGUGUAGAGGUGAAAUUCGUAGAUAUUAGGAAGAACACCAGUGGCGAAGGCGGCUCACUGGUCCGGUACUGACGCUGAGGUGCGAAAGCGUGGGGAGCAAACAGGAUUAGAUA
rnacentral:rRNA from 1 species